UCUCUCUCUCUCUCUCUAUACCUCCAUCAGAGCCCAUCCUGUGUGGGAUACUCAACCAUAAUCCCUAUUCGUUUCUUCUUCCUCCCUCGCUCUGAUUCAGUCAAUACUCUUUCAUUCUCUCUCUCCAAUUCGUUUCUUCUUUCUCUUUUCCUUCCUCCCCCUUUCUGCCAUCUCAAUCUUCAUCAACAGUGGCAGGCCAAACUCCAUAUUCCACCACAAUCGACACAACCUUUUCAGCCCAUAGGAGAGAUUUCGAAAGGAGCCAUUGCAAAAUGGGAGAUUUCAUUGGACCACCACCGGCUCUAGAGAGAUCGAUACUCCGUCGUUGUCAAUAUUCAAAGAGAUCCCAAACAGGCACAUUAUGAGCUUGAAUGCCAAUUCUGAUAGAGUUCUCUUCCAUUAUAAUGGACAUGGUGUACCAAAAUCAACUGUUAAUGGUGAAAUUUGGGUAUUCAAUAAGAUACAUACAAAGAAGAUUUGAGAUCAAUUGGUGGAGCAAACUUGCUCUGGUUGAGUCAUCCUCCAUGUUUGUUGGUGGAAUUGAGCGUAAAGAAUACCCUAAAAGCUCCAUGGUCAUCUUCUCCAUUUAUUCAUUAGAUCCAAAGCUCACAGACCUGUGGGACUAAAGGAGGGGUGGAUUCUACAAAGAAAAGCAUUAGCUAAUGCAUUAGCAGCAGCGCCAUCCAUGUGGACUCUUGGAAAUGCAGGCAUGGGAGCAUUGCAGGUUUUUAAUUUCUUGAAACAAAUGACCUUUUGCAGCCUUCAUAUCUGUCUUCUCUUCUUCUUAACGUCAUAUUGUUAAGUUAAUUUAUUUAUAUAAAAAUAAUAAUAAU